AAAGAAACCGAUCAAGAUGUUCAAGUGAUUUUAGACAUAUGCUCAACGUUGUCAACUGCUCAAGUAAUCAAGAUUCUGAAAUCAUACACGUUAGAUGAUUGUGAGGCUCCAAUCAAACCGGCAUUCAUUGAAAAGCUAACGAUCAAACUGAAUGAGCGACCGAUGAAGGUGAUUUGGAUUUUAGUUUUUAUUUUUUUUCUUCCCUUUUAUUCAUAUUUAAUAAAUAUGAUUUUUUGACGAUUUUUCCUUUUCAACUGAUUUUUGCUUAAGGACUCAAGUCAAUUGGGUCAAAAAUUGACCGAAAGUGGAAUAUUUGGCUGGCAUU